rnacentral:tRNA from 1 species
GCAGCGGUAGUUCAGUUGGUUAGAAUACCGGCCUGUCACGCCGGGGGUCGCGGGUUCAAGUCCUGUCCGCUGCGCCA